rnacentral:rRNA from 1 species
GAUUCUGGCUCAGGAUGAACGCUGGCGGCGUGCUUAACACAUGCAAGUCGAACGAAGUUAAGUGAAACCUAGUGAUCUUAACUUAGUGGCGGACGGGUGAGUAACGCGUGGGUAACCUGCCGCAUGCAGGGGGACAACAGUUGGAAACGACUGCUAAUACCGCAUAAGCGCACGGGACCGCAUGGUCCAGUGUGAAAAGAUUUAUCGGCAUGCGAUGGACCCGCGUCCGAUUAGCCAGUUGGCGGGGUAACGGCCCACCAAAGCGACGAUCGGUAGCCGGCCUGAGAGGGUGAACGGCCACAUUGGGACUGAGACACGGCCCAAACUCCUACGGGAGGCAGCAGUGGGGAAUAUUGCACAAUGGGGGAAACCCUGAUGCCAGCGACGCCGCGUGAGUGAUGAAGUAUUUCGGUACGUAAAGCUCUAUCAGCAGGAAAGAAAAUGACGGUACCUGACUAAGAAGCCCCGGCUAACUACGUGCCAGCCGCGGC